UACAGAGGGGGCAAGCGUUGUUCGGAAUUACUGGGCGUAAAGGGCGCGUAGGCGGCCUUCUAAGUCGAACGUGAAAUCCCCGGGCUCAACCCGGGAACUGCGUCCGAUACUGGAAGGCUUGAAUCCGGGAGAGGGAUGCAGAAUUCCAGGUGUAGCGGUGAAAUGCGUAGAUAUCUGGAGGAAUACCGGUGGCGAAGGCGGCAUCCUGGACCGACAUUGACGCUGAGGAGCGAAAGCGUGGGGAGCGAACAGG
rnacentral:rRNA from 1 species